GAAAGCUUGCAUAGGCUUAGGAAGUUACGCCAAAUAGAAGAAGAAGAUACCAUACUCCGACUCAAUAUGUCCACGGCGUACAGAAUGGUAGCAUAUCUCUCAAAUAAUCUGAGCUUGGGUAUACGGGGAAACGCCAAGCGGUUGGGAGGAUGGGUUAUAUGGCUAAAUUGAACGGU
rnacentral:ribozyme from 1 species